GUCUCCGUUGGUGAACCAGCGGAGGGAUCAUUACCGAGUGCAAACUCAUAACCCUUUGUGAACCUAUAUCUGUUGCUUCGGCGGCUCGCUCUCGGGCGAGCCCGCCGGUAAUAUCAGUAUCUCUGUUUGAACCCGACGAUACUUCUGAGUGUUCUUAGCGAACAGUUAAAACUUUUAACAACGGAUCUCUUGGCUCUA
rnacentral:misc_RNA from 1 species